CGCGUAGGCGGGAAUGCAAGUCAGAUGUGAAAUCCAGGGGCUUAACCCUUGAACUGCAUUUGAAACUGUAUUUCUUGAGUGUCGGAGAGGUUGACGGAAUUCCUAGUGUAGCGGUGAAAUGCGUAGAUAUUAGGAGGAACACCAGUGGCGAAGGCGGUCAACUGGACGAUAACUGACGCUGAGACGCGAAAGCGUGGGGAGCAAACA
rnacentral:rRNA from 1 species